GUCAGAUGGUAUUCUGUCUUUAGUGAAGUGGCGAGCACCAUUACCAGAUCUCAGCUCUGUUGACAGUAUGGUAUUUAAGAAGUACCCAACUUCUGGGUGGUUCUACAGGAAGCAUGGAGUGAAAUCUCUUUUCACAUUACCGCACCACAUUACAUAGUUACAUAGAUACAUAGCUGAAAAGAGACUUGUGUCCAUCAAGUUCAGCCUUCCUCACAUAAGGUUUUUGCUGUUGAUC